GAUCCCGUAGCUCAGCCUGGUUAGAGCGCCGGUCUUAUAAGCCGGAGGUCCCGGGUUCAAAUCCCGGCGGGAUCA
rnacentral:tRNA from 1 species